rnacentral:misc_RNA from 1 species
AAGUCGUAACAAGGUUUCCGUAGGUGAACCUGCGGAAGGAUCAUUACAUAUUGGUCAAAAGAAUAGUUUGAAAAAGGCUAUUUUUUUUUGACUUAAAAAACUUAUCCACAGUGUGGGAAAUGUCUUCUAACGCUUGUGCCUGGUUCAGUCUAGUGCUGCCACUUGAGUUUAUCCUUAGAUCAAGGGAUCUUUGGGUAGUUGUUCAUUAUUUUCUCUCUCUUUUUAGGGGGGGAGAUUAAUGAUGGGCACCUCUUGUAAAGGGGAUAAGAUUACUUUUAUUAUACUAAAUUUUACUGAACUGAUAGACCAUAAAUCUAUGGUUGUUUUUUAUUAUAAUUAAAAAAAAAAAACAACUUUCAGCAAUGGAUCUCUCGGCUUUC